rnacentral:rRNA from 1 species
UUAUUUAAUUCUUAAUUUAUUUAUUUGUAUUUUAUAUUUAAUAGAAAUAACUUAAUUCUUAGUAUUUUUUAAUGAAUCGAUAAAUAUUAUUUAUAGUAUAUUUAACUGUAAAGGUUAUAAAUUUAAUAUAUUGAAAGUAUAAUUUAUUUUUUGUACCUUUUGUAUCAGGGUUUAUCAAUUUAAUUUUAAUUAUUUUUUUUAAAUUUCCCGAAAUUAGAGGAGAUAUUUAUAAUUGUUAUAUAAUAUAUCAUUAUUAUUAAUAAAUUAUAAAUAGUUGUUAUAUGCUAUUCAUCUUUAAUUAUCUGGUUUUUUAAUAAAUGAAUUUAAUUCAGGAUUUAAUGAUAUUAUUAGUGUAAUUAAUUAUUAAUAAUACAUUUGAUCUAAAAUUGGAAGGGAUAAGCUUUCUUUUUUUUCUAUACUAAUUUUAUAAUGUAUAAAUUAUGUAGGAUUAAUAAUUUUCAUCAUAUAAUUUGUUAUAAUUAUAUUUAUUUUUAUAUUUAUUUUUUUAAUUGUUAGAUUUUUAUUUAAAUUUAUUAUUGAUCAAAUACUUAAUAGUUAUAAUGAUAAAAUUAGUAGAUUAUAUUAUUUAAUAUAUAGUAACUCGGCAAAUUUAUUCUUCACCUGUUUAACAAAAACAUGUCUUAAUGGUUAUAUUUAUUAAGUCUAACCUGCUCAAUGAUUGUCUUUAUUAAGGAUUAAAUAGCCGCAGUAUUCUGACUGUGCGAAGGUAGCAUAAUCAUUUGUCUUUUAAUUGAAGGCUUGCAUGAAUGGUUGAAUGAGAGAAUAACUUUCUUUAUGUUAAAUUAUUGAAUUUAAUGUUUUAGUCAAAAAGCUUAAAUUUAUAAGUGGGACGAGAAGACCCUAUAGAAUUUUACUUUAAAAUGUUUUAGAUAUUUUUUUGUUAAUAUCAAAUGUUUAUUAGAAAUAAAGUUUUGUUGGGGUGACAAUGGGAUUUUUUUAACUCCCAUAUUUUACUUAUUUAUUGAUUUAUAUAUUUUAGAUCCUAUUUUAAGGAAAACUAGAUUAAAUUACCUUAGGGAUAACAGCGUAAUUUUUUUGGAGAGUUCUUAUUGAUAAAAAAGUUUGCGACCUCGAUGUUGGAUUAAAAUUAGAUUUAAGUGCAGAAGCUUAAUUUCUAGGUCUGUUCGACCUUUAAAAUUUUACAUGAUCUGAGUUCAGACCGGCGUGAGCCAGGUCGGUUUCUAUCUUCUUAAUUAAUAAUGUAAAUUAGUACGAAAGGACCAUUUACUACAAAUAUUUUGUUUAAUUUGAAUAUUUUUA